UUCCGGAGCUAACGCGUUAAGUCGACCGCCUGGGGAGUACGGCCGCAAGGUUAAAACUCAAAUGAAUUGACGGGGGCCCGCACAAGCGGUGGAGCAUGUGGUUUAAUUCGAUGCAACGCGAAGAACCUUACCUGGUCUUGACAUCCACGGAAGUUUUCAGAGAUGAGAAUGUGCCUUCGGGAACCGUGAGACAGGUGCUGCAUGGCUGUCGUCAGCUCGUGUUGUGAAAUGUUGGGUUAAGUCCCGCAACGAGCGCAACCCUUAUCCUUUGUUGCCAGCGGUCCGGCCGGGAACUCAAAGGAGACUGCCAGUGAUAAACUGGAGGAAGGUGGGGAUGACGUCAAGUCAUCAUGGCCCUUACGACCAGGGCUACACACGUGCUACAAUGGCGCAUACAAAGAGAAGCGACCUCGCGAGAGCAAGCGGACCUCAUAAAGUGCGUCGUAGUCCGGAUUGGAGUCUGCAACUCGACUCCAUGAAGUCGGAAUCGCUAGUAAUCGUGGAUCAGAAUGCCACGGUGAAUACGUUCCCGGGCCUUGUACACACCGCCCGUCACACCAUGGGAGUGGGUUGCAAAAGAAGUAGGUAGCUUAACCUUCGGGAGGGCGCUUACCACUUUGUGAUUCAUGACUGGGGUGAAGUCGUAACAAGGUAACCGUAGGGGAACCUGCGGUUGGAUC
rnacentral:rRNA from 1 species